rnacentral:rRNA from 1 species
UCAGGAUGAACGCUGGCGGCGUGCUUAACACAUGCAAGUCGAGCGAAGCACUUUGACUUCUUCGGAAAGAUGGGUGACUGAGCGGCGGACGGGUGAGUAACGCGUGGGUAACCUGCCUCACACAGGGGGAUAACAGUUAGAAAUGACUGCUAAUACCGCAUAAGACCACAGCACCGCAUGGUGCAGGGGUAAAAACUCCGGUGGUGUGAGAUGGACCCGCGUCUGAUUAGCUAGUUGGUGGGGUAACGGCCCACCAAGGCGACGAUCAGUAGCCGACCUGAGAGGGUGACCGGCCACAUUGGGACUGAGACACGGCCCAAACUCCUACGGGAGGCAGCAGUGGGGAAUAUUGCACAAUGGGGGAAACCCUGACCCAGCAACGCCGCGUGAAGGAAGAAGGCCUUCGGGUUGUAAACUUCUUUUAGCAGGGACGAAGAACGUGACGGUACCUGCAGAAAAAGCAACGGCUAACUACGUGCCAGCAGCCGCGGUAAUACGUAGGUUGCAAGCGUUGUCCGGAUUUACUGGGUGUAAAGGGCGUGUAGGCGGAGCUGCAAGUCAGAUGUGAAAUCCCGGGGCUCAACCCCGGAACUGCAUUUGAAACUGUAGCCCUUGAGUAUCGGAGAGGCAAGCGGAAUUCCUAGUGUAGCGGUGAAAUGCGUAGAUAUUAGGAGGAACACCAGUGGCGAAGGCGGCUUGCUGGACGACAACUGACGCUGAGGCGCGAAAGCGUGGGGAGCAAACAGAUUAGAUACCCGGUAGUCCACGCUGUAAACGAUGAAUACUAGGUGGGGAGGACUGACCCCCUUCCGGGCCCCAGUUAACACAAUAAAGUAUUCCACCUGGGGAGUACGACCGCAAGGUUGAAACUCAAAGGAAUUGACGGGGGCCCGCACAAGCAGUGGAUUAUAUGGUUUAAUUCGACGCAACGCGAAGAACCUUGCCAGGAACUUGACAUCCAACUAACGAAGUAGAGAUACAUUAGAGUGCCCUUCGGGGAAAGUUGAGACAGGUGGUGCAUGGUUGUCGUCAGCUCGUGUCGUGAGAUGUUGGGUUAAGUCCCGCAACGAGCGCAACCCCUAUUGUUAGUUGCUACGCAAGAGCACUCUAGCGAGACUGCCGUUGACAAAACGGAGGAAGGCGGGGACGACGUCAAAUCAUCAUGCCCCUUAUGUCCUGGGCUACACACGUAAUACAAUGGUGGUUAACAGAGGGAAGCAAAACUGCGAAGUGGAGCAAACCCCCAAAAGCCAUCUCAGUUCGGAUUGCAGGCUGCAACUCGCCUGCAUGAAGCUGGAAUUAAUAGUAAUCGCGGAUCAGCAUGCCGCGGUGAAUAC